GAUCAUGGCUCAGGACGAACGCUGGCGGCGCGCCUAACACAUGCAAGUCGAACGAGCGAGAGAGAGCUUGCUUUCUCGAGCGAGUGGCGAACGGGUGAGUAACGCGUGAGGAACCUGCCUCAAAGAGGGGGACAACAGUUGGAAACGACUGCUAAUACCGCAUAAGCCCACGGCUCGGCAUCGAGCAGAGGGAAAAGGAGUAAUCCGCUUUGAGAUGGCCUCGCGUCCGAUUAGCUAGUUGGUGAGGUAACGGCCCACCAAGGCGACGAUCGGUAGCCGGACUGAGAGGUUGAACGGCCACAUUGGGACUGAGACACGGCCCAGACUCCUACGGGAGGCAGCAGUGGGGAAUAUUGCACAAUGGGGGAAACCCUGAUGCAGCGACGCCGCGUGGAGGAAGAAGGUCUUCGGAUUGUAAACUCCUGUUGUUGGGGAAGAUAAUGACGGUACCCAACAAGGAAGUGACGGCUAACUACGUGCCAGCAGCCGCGGUAAAACGUAGGUCACAAGCGUUGUCCGGAAUUACUGGGUGUAAAGGGAGCGCAGGCGGGAAGACAAGUUGGAAGUGAAAUCUAUGGGCUCAACCCAUAAACUGCUUUCAAAACUGUUUUUCUUGAGUAGUGCAGAGGUAGGCGGAAUUCCCGGUGUAGCGGUGGAAUGCGUAGAUAUCGGGAGGAACACCAGUGGCGAAGGCGGCCUACUGGGCACCAACUGACGCUGAGGCUCGAAAGUGUGGGUAGCAAACAGGAUUAGAUACCCUGGUAGUCCACACCGUAAACGAUGAUUACUAGGUGUUGGAGGAUUGACCCCUUCAGUGCCGCAGUUAACACAAUAAUAAUCCACCUGGGGAGUACGACCGCAAGGUUGAAACUCAAAGGAAUUGACGGGGGCCCGCACAAGCAGUGGAGUAUGUGUUUAAUUCGACGCAACGCGAAGAACCUUACCAAGUCUUGACAUCCCUUGGACGAUGCUGGAAACAGUAUUUCUCUUCGGAGCAAGGAGACAGGUGGUGCAUGGUUGUCGUCAGCUCGUGUCGUGAGAUGUUGGGUUAAGUCCCGCAACGAGCGCAACCCUUAUGGUCAGUUACUACGCAAGAGGACUCUGGCCAGACUGCCGUUGACAAAACGGAGGAAGGUGGGGAUGACGUCAAAUCAUCAUGCCCUUUAUGACUUGGGCUACACACGUACUACAAUGGCGUUAAACAAAGAGAAGCAAGACCGCGAGGUGGAGCAAAACUCAGAAACAACGUCCCAGUUCGGACUGCAGGCUGCAACUCGCCUGCACGAAGUCGGAAUUGCUAGUAAUCGUGGAUCAGCAUGCCACGGUGAAUACGUUCCCGGGCCUUGUACACACCGCCCGUCACACCAUGAGAGCCGGGGGGACCCGAAGUCGGUAGUCUAAC
rnacentral:rRNA from 1 species